GAUGAACGCUGGCGGCGUGCUUAACGCAUGCAAGUCGAGCGAGUGAGUUCUUCGGAACGAUCUAGCGGCGGACGGGUGAGUAACACGUGGGCAACCUGCCUCAUAGAGGGGAAUAGCCUCCCGAAAGGGAGAUUAAUACCGCAUAAAAUUAUCGAGUGGCAUCACACGAUAAUCAAAGGAGUAAUCCGCUAUGAGAUGGGCCCGCGGCGCAUUAGCAAGUUGGUGAGGUAACGUCUCACCAAAGCGACGAUGCGUAGUCGACCUGAGAGGGUGAUCGGCCACAUUGGGACUGAGACACGGCCCAGACUCCUACGGGAGGCAGCAGUGGGGAAUAUUGCACAAUGGGGGAAACCCUGAUGCAGCAACGCCGCGUGAGUGAUGAAGGUCUUCGGAUUGUAAAGCUCUGUCUUUGGGGACGAUAAUGACGGUACCCAAGGAGGAAGCCACGGCUAACUACGUGCCAGCCGCCGCAGUAA
rnacentral:rRNA from 1 species